UCCUGAACAAACCACUGGUCGCUGAAGGGC
rnacentral:piRNA from 1 species